rnacentral:lncRNA from 1 species
CCCGAUACCUCUCCAGAAGAAUGGGCAGUACCCCGCUCCACUUGUUCAACAACGGAGGUCUGCUCCGCAAUAGCCAGGGAAGCUUCCCUCACGCCCUCUGAGGAGGCUGGAGCAGACCUAGACCCUUCAACAGGCCUAAGAGCUGAGCUCGACCCACCACGGCUAGAUGGCCGAGACGACUUGGUGCUGCGGGAGUUCGGCUUUGAAGCUUGAGAAGAAGCUUUGGCGGGAGGUCGGCUAACCUCCUUGGAGGAAGCAGCCUGAACCAACUCCGCAGCAAUCUCAGUUACCGAAC